AUUAAAGUACUCAUAUUUUUACACAUAACUGACUUUUAUGAUUAUAAUGGGCAAUUUCAUUUUGUGCUCCGUAUAGGUCCAAAGCAAAAUUUUCCCAUCUUUCAUGUGGCAAAGAAAGUAAACAGAUAUUAGACAAUUUAAUUUAUUUGACAGUUAUUAGUACAAACUAAAUUCAGUAGUCUUCAGUUUUAUUCUGUCUUCCACUAAUGUGUGAUCAGUAGUCAGUAAGAGAUGAAAUCCUUUUUACUUGGAACUAUCUUUUGAAAGGAGUCAAGAUCCAUCUCUUAUCCCUAGAGGGGGCUCCCUUGAAAAUUACUAUUAGUUAUCUAAGCACUGAUUUCUGUGUGUGUAAGUAGGUGUGUAUUAUUUACUCAAAUCUAUUAUUCUGUGUUAUGAGGACACCCCUGCUGUGUGUUUAUGACUUGUGGUCUUAUUUAGCAUUUGCAUAGCAAUUUCAUUUUAACAAAAGUCUGCUACAAUCAUUUUUAUUAGGUAUUCCUCACAGCACCCUGGUGGAAUAGAACAGCAUUUUUGUACUUAUUUUUUAGAUGAAGGACAGACUCAAGCAGCUUGGAAGAAUAACAAUUUUUUUAUUGAUCUACUUGGAAUUAAGAAAUGUGACUUCUGGUCUCAUUGUUUCACCAGGCAAAGACGAUCCUUGCAGAAAACUAUACAACUUCAUGGAGGUGCAAACUGAAGAAUCCCAGCAAUCAGGAUAAUGGUUAAAUCUGUAGUUCACAAUAAUUUAUUCCAUUACCCCUAGUCAUCUGACCUGAAUUCAGCUCUUAUUGUAUUUAUUUGCUCAUAUCCCAGGCAAGUGAGAUAUUUUAAAAUUUUCUUACAAAGACAUCUGCAAUAGUGCUCACUUUCUGAUACAGAAAAAAUUAUAGAAUUCAACACCCAAACCAGAGAAAAAUGAGCCCAAGGGCUGUCACUUAAUUCUUCUCUAUUGUAGUAAUAUUAUACUUAUUACUAUAUCAAAUUGUCCUUGGUAAAGUUAUCUUGCCUCAACUUGAAAUGUGAUGGUUCAAAUUUUCUAUAGUUCACAAUGUUGUUGGUAUUUAGAAAUUUUUAAUUAAUCUUUGUAGUCUGAUUUAAUGUCAUUAUAAUCAUAACCUAGUAGAGUGUUAAUUAUCAAUAAAUACACUAUUGGAAAUUCA
rnacentral:lncRNA from 1 species